GCUUUCUACUGCCCUCUGCCUUGUCAGAGCAACAGCUUCAGCCCCCCGUCUGUGUAUUACAGGCUCCAUAAAGCAGGCUUGAUGACAUAGUUAUGUUAGCUUGCUGACACGUAAAGACAGCCGACCCUGGGAUUAAUCAGCUCGGAGCUGGGCUCUCUGGGCACAAUGGCUGUCCUGAGUAACAUUUGACGGCACGUCUGCCUUGGGUAUUACACGGACAAAAGCCAUUUCUGUUCCUGAGAGAGUUUUCCAUCCUGCACUUACGAAUUUUUAUGGGUUUGUGGUGACAUUUCCAUUUUAAUUUGCUAAUUAUUAUUGGUGAAAUUGAGAGGCAACUCCAGAUUUAUUACAUUUCACAGUCUGUUGUGUUCCAUGUAUAGCUGUGAAUCUUAACAGCCAGGAGGGCAACCUGCCCAGCACAGUGAACAUUAACCCGCUCAGCACUGGGGGAGCGCCGGCUGCCAGGUGGGGCCUUGCUCCUGCAGCCCUGGACACAUGCAGGGGGCAAGUGAGCAGCUGCUGGCAUUCACCUCCAUCCUCCGCCUGGGGCCAGACAGCAUCUUGGAGGACCAGCCACAAUGCAGAGAGAGCCCCAGGCCUCUGGCUGUUCUUGCCCUGCGGAGCCCUCUCCCCAUCCCCAGCCUGAUCUUCCUCCAUCCCUUGCAGGCAUUACUGGCUCCCUGGAAGCUCAACACAGACAACACAAGGCUGGACACAAUUCUCUGCAACACACAACAUACACCCAGGAGAGCGUUUCCCAGGGCUCUGCUGUGACUGGUGUUUACAACCGGCCCCAAGCAGCUGCCGCCCUGCAGGUGUAUGAGCAAACGUGGGAGCAGAUGCCUUGGGAGUGAGAUCUGCUGCGGGGACCCGGCUAGGGCAUCUCCCCUGCGUCCUACCUGCGGACGCCAGAGCCAGUGCCCAGUGGGCCCCUACACAGCUGAGUUGCAGGCUCUGCGGACUCCCAGACUUCCAUGUGACAUGUUACCUGGAGCCAACGCCUGCUCUCCCAAGUCCCCCUGGAAGCUGUUAGACCACGUGCAGGAGAGAGAAAAUAAAAGUAGGGGGUUAUGUGUCUUCCCAGCUCAGCUUCCUCCUGUUUCUAGAUUGGAUGUACAGCUUACCUUUAUUCCACAAGGUACAUGAAAUCCAGCAUGAAGAGGUUGGAUAUGAAAAGAAGGAGCAACCCAAUCAGGGGAAUAAUUAGUCAAGAACAUUACAUGAUCUUUGUGCUCAAAUGAUACCAUUAAUUGCAUGUGAUUUUUAUGUGUUUAUUAAAGCAGGUUUUCUCAGCUCGACAAAGAUAGAGCAAUUGGUUACAAGGAAACUUCUGAAGUGAUCUUUAGUGGAAAGCCUUUGCUCUCCUAGAUUAUUUUCCGACAGCAAGCCCAAAUUAAUGAGGUUUUACUGUAUUCAAACUCGGAGGUUUAGGUUGGUUGGUUCUUCUAUUUUUCUUCCUUAAACCUCCUAAAAUGAAGUCUUUGCAAAAAAUGAGCUCUUCAGAAGUAGCAGAAAGAGGAAAGAUUACUCACCUGGUAAAUAAUGUAUGUGGAGAUUGUGCCAGAUAAAAGUAUGCCACACAACAUUUGAGUGUAGCAGAGCUUGGGCCAAAACCAUGUGCUGAAGUCCUAACCGCCAGGAUCUUAGAACGUGACUGUAUUGGCAGAGAAGACUUUUAAAGAGGUAAUUAAUGUAAAUGAGGUCAUUAGGGUGGGGUCCUUAUAAGAAUAGGGGAUUUGGACACACACACACACACACACACAGGACCCAACGAAAAGCCUGCCAUCUGCAAACCAAAGAGAGAGUCUUCAGAGGAAGCCAACCCUGCCAACACCUUGAUCCCAGACUUCCUGGAUCCAGAGCUGUGAGAGAAUAAAUGUCUGUUGUAUAAGGUACCAGUCUGUGGUGCUUUGUUCUGCAGUGUGUGCUGAUUGAGGCGUGGAGGGAACCAUUGCUGGGAGAGACCCUGGUAGAGGAGCAACAGGGGCUCAGACACCCUUACAUGCCCUUUUUGAAGUAGCUUUAUGCACAGUUUCCAGUCUAGAAAUGAUACACCAGUACAUCAAGUUACGUGACAUGCAUUUUUGUGAAGACAUCUUGAGAGGUGGUAGGUGGGGGGUGAACAGGCAUAGGUCAUAAGUCAAAGGGAGCUUGCAGUAUAAGAGCAAAUCCUACAAAAAACAGGGAUGUUCUGAGAGGGACUCUAACUCUGCCCAGAGGAAAAUGCUCUUGGGGUACUAGCUCCUGGGCUAUUAUCCCCAUUCCCUCUGAAAACAUUGUUUGAGGGGUUGAUGUGAAAUUUCUUUUACUAAAACCAAAGAAAACUAUGACCUAAUAUGAACACUGGUUAAUUCUGGGUGGUAGAUACUGGUGUUUGGCAUAUGGCUUCUGAGCUUUUCUAUUUUUUAGAUCUUUAGCUUUUUAUUUCAGAAAACUUCAAACAUAAGCCCUGAUGUGCCAUCACCAACUACAAGAAUCAUCUACCUGUAGGGCCAGUCCUGUUUCUUCCACACUCCCAUCCACUCCUGCCUCCUUCCUGGGGUCAUUUCUUCAAUGAAUCCGAGACAUUGUAUCAUUUCCUCCCUCAGUAUUGGGGUGUCUGUCUCUAAAGGUGAUGACCUUUUCUUAAAACGUAGCUGUGAGAAGGGCACCCUCACACGAACAUUGUAACCAUAAUUUCUUAGUCUCUAAGGAUCCUAGCCAGUGGUGAGUUUUUCUCCUCUGGGAACAAGGUUUGAUUAUCCCCUCCUCUCACCUGCACAGGUGUCAGCCCUGCACUGCUCUCUCACCUUGACAGGGGAAGGGCAGAUACCCUCCCUGUCCCCAGAGCAUGAGGACUGUCACUAUUCUAAGGGUGCAAAGCAAUCUCUGAUGGUCUAACACCGCAUGACGACUGCCCAUCAUAAAACAUCAUCUGUUUUAUCCCCAACUUGGCUACAAGCACCUAUUUCAGGAUCUUGUAAGAUCUUGUCUCCUGAGUGGAUCAUCUCAGCUGCCACUUACCCAGGCUGCACGUCUGAACCACAUGGGGAGCUUUAAAAACGCUGACAGCCAUGUUCCACCACAAGACCCUGCUGCCAGUGGUCCUGGGGGAACUUGGUGCAGGUGAUUCUGAUGGGUGUGAGAUCAAGAAUGGCAUGCUCCUGGCUUUCAACCACCCUGGCUCAUGGCUCUGGGCACGAACUUGACUCCUCUGUCCGCACACAUGUCUGUGUUAUGUCUGUGCAAAUAUAGGAUGAAACGUGCUAUAAUUUUAAAACAUACUUUCGUGUAACCUAUGUUUGUAAAGCAAACGUAGUCCAGUUCCUUUGAAGAAAAUAAAAUGCAAUGCUUUAUUAUAAAACAGCUACUAUGGGGGCCCCUGGGUGGUUCAGUGUGGUUGAGCGUCUGCCUUUGGCUCAGGGAGUGAUCCCGGGGUCCUAGGAUCAAGUCCCACGUCAGGCUCCCCACAGGGAGUCUGCUUCUCUCUCUGCCUGUGUCUCUGCCUCUAUGUGUUUCUCAUGAAUAAAUAAAUAAAUAAAUAAAAUCUAUCUAUCUAUCUAUAGCUAUAGCUACUACCAAGCAUAGAUACAAAACUCAAUGUACUUGAAGUUA
rnacentral:lncRNA from 1 species